rnacentral:misc_RNA from 1 species
UGCAAUUCGCCCGAGAUCUAGCUGGCGCAUAAGUGCAGUUAGAUUUGCUGUGUGCCCAUCGAGCGUGUGAUUUUGCUCGCGAACGGGCUUUUCGGAGAGGCCGAAGCCAAUCAUAUCGGGGACAAUCACGCGCCGACCAGAUGCGACCAAGGGUUGGAUGAAGUCGCGGUAUAAAAAGCCCCAUGUCGGAUUGCCAUGUAAAAGAACGACGGGAUCCCCCUUGCCCUCGUCCACAUAGUGCAUGCG